UACGUAGGUGGCAAGCGUUGUCCGGAUUUACUGGGCGUAAAGCGUAUGCAGGCGGAUUGUUAAGUAGGAAGUGAAAGGUUGGAGCUCAACUCUAACACUGCUUCCUAUACUGGCAGUCUUGAGUGGCGGAGAGGAAGAUGGAACGACACGUGUAGCGGUGAAAUGCGUUGAUAUGUGUCGGAACACCAAUGGCGAAAGCAAUCUUCUGGACGCAAACUGACGCUGAGAUACGAAAGCCAAGGUAGCAAACAGG
rnacentral:rRNA from 1 species